rnacentral:lncRNA from 1 species
GAAUGAGAAAUUACGAUAAAUUAAAUUCGGGAAAACAAAGACAAUAAAAUUAUAAAAUUAGAAUAUGAAUUCUUGAAAAUUGAAGAGAAGAGAAUGACUGAUAAUUUGAGAAUUGAGAGAGAUAUUGAUAAUUUUGAGUGAGGAAAUGAAGAAGAGGGGAGGGUAUUUAUAGAUUUUAAGAAGGGUUAAUAAUGUAAUUUAAUAAAUACAAAAAAAAAAUAAAAAAGUGGCCAUUUCUGAAAAUACUCCCGUUGGCCAACGGUUCUGGACCGUUGCCAACGGUCCUGUGGGGCCCACAUGUGAAGAAAAUUUUUUAAAAAAAAUUUUUUUUUUUGACCGUUGUACCGGUCCGGGUCGACCGGUUCAAGCACUGUUUGGCUUACCGGGCCG